rnacentral:tRNA from 1 species
GGAGGAGUGCGGCGAAUGGCAAGCCAGCGCCCUGCUAAGGCGUAACCGUCUCAACAGCGGUUUGUGGGUUCAAGUCCCACCUCCUCCGCCA